rnacentral:rRNA from 1 species
CAGUAGCCGCGGGAACACGUAGGGUGCGAGCGUUGUCCGGAAUUAUUGGGCGUAAAGAGCUCGUAGGCGGUGUGUCGCGUCGGCCGUGAAAACCUGGGGCUCAACUCUGGGCGUGCGGUCGAUACGGGCAUCACUUGAGUUCGGCAGGGGAGACUGGAAUUCCUGGUGUAGCGGUGAAAUGCGCAGAUAUCAGGAGGAACACCGGUGGCGAAGGCGGGUCUCUGGGCCGAUACUGACGCUGAGGAGCGGAAGCAUGGGUAGCGAACAGGAUUAGAUACCCGUGUAGUCCCUGUCUCUUAUA